GUGUGCUGGUGGUUGUACCACAGGAUUGUGCAUGCGUCUAGUGUGGUAGAGCCAUAGGCUUUUUAUCACCGCUGGCUAGCCUGCUUCCAGGUGAAAAAGAAAGCCGAGUGAGUAAGUCUUUCUGCCAGUACAUAGCCUCUGCACUAUUCAAGACUUCUGCAAUGCCUCCACGCGACGGCACACGGUAACUAGGGUCUAGUACCCUAGGCAUAAUUGUAGAGGAUCUCGGAGCAGCAAGGGCCCCAGAGAUGCAGUGUGUAGGCCCACCGGCGUGUGGAUAUGCCCUAGCACUCAUCAACCUUGCCCCAGCUAUGGGUAAAUAGUUGGUUAGAUGAAGAUCAUAGCUCUGUUAAAGCAGUUCAUCUAAGAGAAGGACAACUUGAUACAAAACCAAUGGCUAGAUGGGAGUCAUAAGCUCUGGUUAGCAGCUUAUCUAGAGGAAGGAAACCUUGAUUAAUAAAUCCCUGGCCCUCCUGGUAAGGGGGUUUGGCGUCAGGCUAAUCACCUUGCCCUGUAAAAAAAAGCUGAUUACAGAAACUAAUACAGUCGAUAAACAUGCUUGCCCUUCUAGGGUUGGAGCAGAAGUUGGUUUUAAUGCAACUGACCGCCAUGUGAUGCAGAGAAUGACGUCUAAUAAACCGAUACCACUGUUUUCGCCCAAAAAAGUCACCAAAGUUGCACAAUGGAAUGUACGCACAAUGUAUGAAUGUGGAAAAUGUGCUCAUAUAGCAAAGGAGAUGAGAAAUUAUGAUAUAAACAUACUUGGCAUAAGUGAGGCAAGAUGGAACCAAAGUGGAGUUUUGACACUGGUAACAGGUGAGGAGAUUCUAUACUCGGGAAACCCAAAUGAAAAUGAUUACCACACCAAAGGAGUAGCAAUAAUGCUUUCAAACACAUCAAAGAAGAGCCUGAUGGAAUGGGAACCAGUAAGUGAGAGAAUAAUGUGGGUGAGACUAAAAGCUAAAUGCCAAAACAUAACUAUCAUACAGUGUUAUGCACCAACCAAUGAUGCCGAAGAUGAUGUAAAGGAAUGUUUUUAUGAACAACUACAACAUGUUUGGGACAACAUCCCCAAAAGAGACAUCAAAAUAGUCAUGGGUGAUAUGAAUGCUAAGAUUGGAAAAGAGAACAAGGACAGAGAGAAAACACUAGGAAAAC
rnacentral:lncRNA from 1 species